rnacentral:pre_miRNA from 1 species
GAUGUACUCCUUUCAUUCCGAAUUACUUGUCGCAUGUAUAGAUGUAUCUAGAUGUAUUUUAGUUUUAGAUAUAUCCAUUUCUGUGACGAGUAAUUUGGACGGGAGGGAGUAGUUA